rnacentral:misc_RNA from 1 species
UAUGAGAGAGAGAUGGGAUGGUUGAAGGCGGUCAACUCCACACCCAACUUGGUGCAUGGCGUAGCCCGUAAUGUCAAGGUACGCAUCGGUGACUGGAAAGGUACCUUAGACUUCUUUGUUGUGUCCAUGGAUGAAUAUCAGUGCGUGCUUGGGGUCGACUUCGUGGAUCGGGUCAAGGCGAUCCCAAUGCUGUUUGCCAACAGCAUAUGUAUCACAGAGGGAGGUGGUACAUAUAUGGUUCCUGUGUUGCGGGGGAAGCCCUCAUCGUCGAAGACCCUUGCAACCAUGCACAUGGAGGUGCAGAAGCCAUCACCAACCACUACUGCUGUCGUCCAGGGGAAGGAGCAGCAUGGAAAGGGAGGAGGUACUCCCAAGAGUGGAUCAAAGGAGUGUAAGGAGGGAAACACUCCUAAGUUGCUAAAGGGGCAUCCACCAAGGAGGAAGGUGGACUGUGCACGAGGGAAGUCAGUGGCCAGAAGUCCAGGGGAUGUGGCAUCGCCAAGGCAGGGGAGUCCGAGGCAAAAUCGCUCACGGAGGAGCAGAUGGAGGUGCAAAGCCGAAGGGAGAGCUGGUGCACCGAGCCACAAGGACGAGGAAGGCACUGAAGCACAGUUGGAGCAAGCCCGAGGCAACCAAGUCGAGCAUGGACGGAGACAUGGGAGGAAGUCCAAACGACGAGGGCGUCGUUGGGAUUGAGUAGGGGAGAAUGUCACCCCACAAAU